rnacentral:lncRNA from 1 species
CCGGGAGGGCGGGGCCAGGGCGGAGCCAGUGCCCCUAGCUGUAGUCGCGUGGUCCGUGCUGCGCGUGGUCUCGGCUGUGCGCGGUCCUGGCUGUGAGGCCGGACCCUGUCGGGCUGCGGUCGGCCACCCACACUUUGAGCGCUGUGUGCCCGGCGCCAUGUGUUCCUGUGGGUUCUGUGCUCGCCCACGAAGCCGGACCCGACCGACUCGCGAAGCUCGGAAAGGACCGAGAGAAAAAGAGAAAGCGCAGCCCGCGAGCUCAGGAGCGGGGAUACCACACUUUGAGAAGCAACCUUCAAGCUAGUAUUGUUUUGAGCAUCUUUAAGCUGCCUGUCACCAAACUACAACAUCAUGAAAACAUUUGCCCUUGAGAGACGACCCCUUUUCCCACUGGACGUCUGGAGUCAGCUGCUUCCUCUUCCCAGCAUAGCCAACCACUGUCAGUUCUGAAGGCACAUCUGUGAACACAGUAUGCCCCAAACAGUUGUGAGCCAAUUCUGCUUGCUCCUGCAUAGAACCACGGAAGCAGAAGUGAGUAGUCUCUACCUGGAGUUACCUGGCCAUAGGUUUCUGAAGGAGCUGAUGAUACUGCAGGCCUUACAGUAACAUUGAAAGCAGCCUAUUCUCACUGACCAUGUUCCUGCUGAGAGAUUUGCAGCCUGAAAUGCAUUCCUGACAUACAACGCUACCACAUUAGCAUGAGUUAUUUGAAACACUGUGUUUAAUGUGGUCAGCUUAAUAGACUAAUUUAAUAAUCCAAGACAUGAAAACAUCAUUCAGUGAUAAUACCAAACAGAAACAUAUACAUCCAAGUAGUGUAGAAAAACAAACUACCCCAUAAAGGCAAUGAAGUGUGGAUGCUGAAUAAAACCAUUGGUUGUUAUAUCUAAGGUCCACUGAUUGUUUGCUUCCAUUAGUGGAAAAGCAGCAAAGUUUAACUGCAUACAAAACGUAAUUACUUUGAGUUAAUAGAGGAGUUCCAUGAGCAAUAAUAUAAAAUACACUGUAAUCUUCCAGAUUGACUUGAAAUUCACAGAACAAAUCAACAGAGAGUUUAACAACAUGUAGCUGUAUUACUUCCAGCUGCGUGCAGAGAGAAACACCUGGGUAAAGGCCAAACAAGGUGCCAGGCCUCUUCUUCACCUUUCAUUAAAUAUUUGCUGUUUGGAUGAAUGCAUUUCUCGCUCACAUAGAGGUGUUUGUCACAAAUAAUUCUGCAUGUGCUAAAAAUAAAGUAAAAAUGCAACAAAUUAAUAGGUGAGAGGCUGAGAAAUAUGAUCAAAUGAGUUCAUUAAUAAGCACAACUGUCAUGUGGUGCUUAUGAAGUGC